rnacentral:lncRNA from 1 species
GCGUAAACAAGCAUUGAAUAUAUGAAAGAUACAUAAAAUAUUAAAAAACAAUAGAAAUAUUAAUUAAUAAUUACAAAUAAUAAUUGCACCGAAAUAACUAGCCAUAGUUUAACAAAGCUUCGUAGUUUAACAAAACUUCUGUUACAUUCACACUAACCCGAGUAACCCCCACAACAGCAUGUAACCACAUUCAAAUGGUUGCUAAAAAAACAAAACCAUGUGCACCAAUUUACAGUCACUACUUGAUUGCAAAUGCAAUGCUUUCACCAUUCAACCCAACAACGUGAGUUACUUACAUUCCAUUAAGGCAUUAUAAGCAUAUAUCGCCAAAAUUUUCACCUAGAUGAAUGGCCACAUUUCUGCACCUGCACUCAAGACUAGCAGAAACUUAACUAACGACGACGAAGAACCUCUUAUGGACGCCAUGCUCCCCUAUUCGCUGAACAACAUCCAACAAUGAAGAACCAGUUUCUCUCUCACAAACACGACCAACAUUGUUCGGAAAGAAUGAACAACAUUUUUUUGGAAAUUAAAGCAUAAGACUGAAACCCUAAUGGAGGCCUACAACAACUUUGUUUGGGAAGAAGAUUCAACCCUAAU